rnacentral:rRNA from 1 species
AUUGAACGCUGGCGGCAGGCCUAACACAUGCAAGUCGAGCGCGCGGCGGACGGGUGAGUAAUGUAUGUGGACUGCCCGUUAGAGGGGGAUAACUACUGGAAACGUUAUCUCAUACCGCAUACUAUCGGAUACCCCCUAUGGGAUUAGCUAGUAGGUGAGGUAAUGGCUCACCUAGGCGACGAUCCCUAGCUGGUCUGAGAGGAGGAUCAGCCACACUGGGACUGAGAAACGGCCCAGACUCCUACGGAGGCAGCAGUGGGGAAUAUUGCACAAUGGGCGCAAGCCUGAUGCAGCCAUGCAGCGUGUAUGAAGAAGGCCCUAGGGUUGUAAAGUACUUUCAGUCGGGAGGCGUUACCGACAGAAGAAGCACCGGCUAACUCCGUGCCAGCAGCCGCGGUAAUAC